rnacentral:rRNA from 1 species
GAUGAACGCUGGCGGCGUGCCUAAUACAUGCAAGUCGAGCGAAGCGGGGACGGGUCAGUAACACGUGCAGAACCUCCUCUAAGACUGGGCUAACUUCGGGCAACCGGAGCUAAAACUGAUACUUAUUGAUGGAUCCGCGCUGCAUUAGCUAGUUGGUAAGGUAACGGCUUACCAAGGCAACGAUGCAUAGCCGACCUGGGAGAGUGAUCGGCCACACUGGAACGGAGACACGGUCCAGACGCCUACGGGAGGCAGCAGUAGGGAAUCGUCCGCAAUGGGCGAAAGCCUGACGGAGCAACGCCGCGGGAGUGAUAGAGGUCUUCGGAUCGUAAAACUCUGUUAUGAGUGAAGCGGUACUUGAACAGAAAGCAACGGCUAACUACGUGCCAGCAGCCGCGGUAAUUC